rnacentral:rRNA from 5 species
CAACUUUCAACAACGGAUCUCUUGGCUCUCGCAUCGAUGAAGAACGCAGCGAAAUGCGAUAAGUAAUGUGAAUUGCAGAAUUCAGUGAAUCAUCGAAUCUUUGAACGCACCUUGCGCUCCUUGGUAUUCCGAGGAGCAUGCCUGUUUGAGUGUCUUGA